CCUACGGGAGGCAGCAGUGAGGAAUAUUGGUCAAUGGCCGGAAGGCUGAACCAGCCAUGCCGCGUGAAGGUCAGUGCCCUAUGGGCGUUAAACUUCUUUUGUGCGGGAGCAAUAAUGGUCACGUGUGGCCAGACGAGAGUACCGUACGAAUAAGCAUCGGCUAACAACGUGCCAGCAGCCGCGGUAAUACGGGGGAUGCAAGCGUUAUCCGGAUUUAUUGGGUUUAAAGGGUGCGUAGGCUGUGAGGUAAGUCAGCGGUGAAAUGCCCACGCUCAACGGGGUGAAGUGCCAUUGAUACUGCCUGGCUGGAAUGCGGAUGCCGUGGGAGGAAUGUGUGGUGUAGCGGUGAAAUGCAUAGAUAUCACACAGAACACCGAUUGCGAAGGCAUCUCACGAAUCCGCGAUUGACGCUGAUGCACGAAAGCGUGGGUAUCAAACAGGAUUAGAUACCCCAGUAGUC
rnacentral:rRNA from 1 species